UACGUAGGUGGCAAGCGUUGUCCGGAUUUACUGGGCGUAAAGAGCGCGCAGGCGGUCGUUCAAGUCGCGUGUGAAAGCCCCCGGCUCAACUGGGGAGGGUCACGCGAUACUGACUCGACUCGAAGGCAGGAGAGGGUAGUGGAAUUCCCGGUGUAGUGGUGAAAUGCGUAGAUAUCUGGAGGAACACCGGUGGUGUAGACGGCUUUCUGGACCGUAACUGACGCUGAGACACGAAAGCGUGGGUAGCAAACAGG
rnacentral:rRNA from 1 species